CCAGAGGUGCUCCCAGGAACCAGGUAGCCUAUGUUAGAAGGAAAAUAAAGGUCCCAUUUUGGUCACCAGAAUUUGUGAACUAAUGGGAAUGGGUCCUUCUCGGUGUGACUGCUCAAGUCAAUUGAGAGGCACCAGGAAUUUGGGAAAGAGAAAGUGAACUGUAUUGCAGGCCAUUCAAGCAAGGAGCUCAGAGACUAAGCCUCAAAUCAAGCUCCUGGAGGUUGGGGGUUUUAGGGUAGUUAUGGAUUUGGGAUAGGGAACUUCUGCAUAAUUUAUGAAGUUUCUGGGGCUAGGCAGGCAAUUUCAGGAAUUAAUUAACAUAUAUGUGGGAGCAGUGGGGCUGCAAUAUGACGGCUGAGGAGUAUGACACAUGAAAUUUAUCUAAGGCCACCUUUGAGGCUUAUUGCUCAUGUCCAAAUGCGGGGGGUGAGUAGGUGAGUAGCUAAGCCGCCUCAAGCAGAGAAGCAGUUAAGAGGAUGUCUUGGUGUUACACAGAAAUGUCUUAUCAGGAACUCACAGGUCUGGGGGUGGGGUGAUAGGAGGAGCUGGAACAGUUUAACCCUGUCUGUUACAUUCUCUCCUCUGGUUUUCAGGGUUUUGAAUCUUGAAGAUAGAUCGUUAUGUAGGUGCUGGCCCAUACCCUUGGAAUUUUGAACUUGCUGACCAGUGUAAGCCUGUGCACUAUACGAUCUGAGGUUUGUUGAGUUAAGAGGAACGCAGUCAGUCACCUGAAGCAUCAUGAUGUUCACAGCUGUUAGGCGGUUUUGAAUGAACCUGGUAAGGCAGUAUAACAGGCAGAGCAAAAACAGAUAGAUUAGUAAAAAAAUUAUAAGUGGAGUGACAAGGAGCCAGAGCCAGUGGAAACUGGGAAACGGGGAAUGUAUCUAAGACCACAAAUUGGAUGGAGUUUUUAGCUGCUGUAAAAAGAGAAGGAAGCACACAAUGAUUGCCAAGACAGUAAAGGCGAUGUAAUCAUUAAGAGAACAAUCCAGAGGGAGGGUCUCCCAGUUGGAGUGGCACAGGUUAGACAUUAGCUCUGUUUUUCUUUUUAAACAGAUAUUUUAAGUUGUGCACAGGCUCGUAGGUCCAGUUGUUUUGUUGAGGUUUUUCUUUUUGCAAAGGAUCUUCUGGAGAUGGUGCAGGUUUGAGGUGAGUGUGAUGCACACAAGCUUGAUGUUUUUGAGUUUAGCUGCCAAGGGGAGGGCUAGAAGAACAGUGUACAGUCCAGUUCACUGGGGUUCAGGGGGCUCCACUUUCCAGAUUUUCAGCAGAACUUGGUCACCAGGCAAAGUGGGCGAAGGUGGACAUCAACAGAUUAUUUCUGAAGGCUGAGAGCAUGCUUGUGAACAGAAGAUAGGACACCAGGCAGAGACAACAAAUAUUUUUGGAGAGCAAGCUCCCUGGUGACAGAAACUGGAGUAUUGGUUGAAGGUCUUUAUUGUAAAGAGUGCUCACCAGAAGUGUCUGCUAUUCCACCAUUUUGGCUCCCCCUCUGGCUGUCCACCUUUGAGUGGUGCCGUCAUAUUGCCCAAAUCCACCUAUAAAUCCGGCCUGAGUUUUCUCUUCUUCAGUCAACUGAUCAUAAGGGACUCCGCAUGUGGUACACAGAGAGAUAGAAGGUGAAAUUGGUGACUUGAGUGGGGAUGUGGUGGGAAUCUCCACCCCUACAACCUUCAUCAGGCAGAACUGCAAGGAAGUUGCUAACUCCAGUCCCAAGAACUGGAGCACCUUUUCUGCUGCUGUGAGAGCCGUGCAAGGAGUGCAACAGACCACAGCAAGGGCUGACUUUGGUGUACCUGAGUAGGACAGCCUGCUGCUCUACACUCAGAUCGGUGGAAAAGGAUGCCAGUGAAGAAGAUCCUCGGGGUUGUCCAGAUCCUGAUUGGCUUGAUAAACCUCACCUUGGGAAUAACGAUGAUGUCUGUCUCAUUGCCAUCUGAUGGACCAAAACCCACUUCAGUAUACACAGGUUACACUAUAUGGGGGUCAGUAGUGUUUAUUGUUUCGGGGGCCUUGUUAAUUGCAGAAGAAAUUACAGAUGCAUAUUUGAUUUCGAAGCUCAUCAGCUUAGUCAUGGCCAUCAUAGGGAUCAUAAUCACUGCGUUGAGCUUGAGAGAUUUUUCAUUUGAAUACCUUGUAUGUGAAGACACUUUGACUUCAGAAAAAUGCGCCAUGUUAAUGGGUAUGGAUGGUGUAGUGCUCACUUUAAGUGUGCUGGAGUCCUGCAUUAAUGUGUUCAUCUGUUUCACCUGGCCCCGCUGGGAGUAAACAGCAACCUCCAAAUCCUCAAGUGGCAGAAACGGCACCUUCCUGUACUAUUCCCAGAAAAUUUGAUGCCUCCAACAGAACAACAGAAAUAUCCUCCAGAAAAUCUAUCCUGACAGCAAUGCAAGACCCCCACUUGAGAAAGUAUCAAAAUCCAACACUGAUUUUUAAAACUUAUGUAUUUUAUAAUAAAUCCAGAGUAAUAUUUUCAUUUUUCCCAAGAACUUGGUAACCUCUUUCACUGGCUGUUUAUCAAAACAGAUGUUAAAUAAAUAUAUUAUGCAUUUAAUGUGUCAACAGCACUUGAAAGUUUUCCAUCC